rnacentral:misc_RNA from 1 species
GAACAGUUUCAGAUGCAGAGUUAGUAGGGGGAGAAAGUUCUAAAGUUGAGUUUCAGAAGGGAGCAAUACCCAGCUUCCCACCAAUGUCAGUUUCAAUAAGCAGCUCUCAGACAACAUUUUCUGAAGCCAACUUAAAUUUGACAAACAAGAUACCUUUCGAUGCUUCUAGUUCCAAAUAUGAUGAAAUGGAAUCAGAUGGUCCAUGUGAACAGAAGGAACAUGGUCUUUGA